rnacentral:rRNA from 1 species
AACGUAGGUGGCGAGCGUUAUCCGGAUUUACUGGGCGUAAAACGUGUGCAGGCGGGGGGAUAAGUGGUGUAUGAAAUUUCCCAGCUUAACUGGGAGGGGUUAUGCCAGACUGUCACUCUAGAGUGCGAGAGAGGAACGUGGAAUUCCGGGUGUAGUGGUGAAAUGCGUAGAGAUCCGGAGGAACCCCAGAGGCGAAGGCGGCGUUCUGGCUCGCAACUGACGCUCAGACACGACAGCAUGGGGAGCGAACGGG